rnacentral:tRNA from 1 species
GACCGCGUAGCUCAGUUGGUAGAGUAUUGAACUAGUAUCCCAAAGGUCGUGGGUUCGAUUCCGACCGUGGUCA